AUUGAACGCUGGCGGCAGGCCUAACACAUGCAAGUCGAGCGGAUGAAGGGAGCUUGCUCCUGGAUUCAGCGGCGGACGGGUGAGUAAUGCCUAGGAAUCUGCCUGGUAGUGGGGGAUAACGUCCGGAAACGGGCGCUAAUACCGCAUACGUCCUGAGGGAGAAAGUGGGGGAUCUUCGGACCUCACGCUAUCAGAUGAGCCUAAGUCGGAUUAGCUAGUUGGUGGGGUAAAGGCCUACCAAGGCGACGACCCGUAACUGGUCUGAGAGGAUGAUCAGUCACACUGGAACUGAGACACGGUCCAGACUCCUACGGGAGGCAGCAGUGGGGAAUAUUGGACAAUGGGCGAAAGCCUGAUCCAGCCAUGCCGCGUGUGUGAAGAAGGUCUUCGCAUUGUAAAGCACUUUAAGUUGGGAGGAAGGGCAGUAAGUUAAUACCUUGCUGUUUUGACGUUACCAACAGAAUAAGCACCGGCUAACUUCGUG
rnacentral:rRNA from 1 species